UACAGAGGGGGCAAGCGUUGUUCGGAAUUACUGGGCGUAAAGGGCGCGUAGGCGGCCUUCUAAGUCGAACGUGAAAUCCCUGGGCUCAACCCAGGAACUGCGUCCGAUACUGGAAGGCUUGAAUCCGGGAGAGGGAUGCGGAAUUCCAGGUGUAGCGGUGAGAUGCGUAGAUAUCUGGAGGAACACCGGUGGCGAAGGCGGCAUCCUGGACCGGUAUUGACGCUGAGGUGCGAAAGCGUGGGGAGCAAACAGG
rnacentral:rRNA from 1 species